CUGGCCUCAAGCCAUCCUCCCACCUCAGCCUCCCAAAGUGCUGGGAUUACAUGCAUGAGCCACCACAUCCAGCCUCCCUAAAAUAUUGAAUGCUGUUAAUAAAUCUCCUAAGAAGGUGAUGGGCAAAACUAAUGCAGUAGGAGCUGAAAUCGACCAGGGGGUUCUUAUCCAACAGACAGCAGCAAAACUCUUUGUGUAUCUGCGUUCCUUUCAACAAGUGUGACUUCCUCAAUGGCAUCAUUUGUGAGCGUAACACAGAGCUCAGCAAUAACGUUUCUUCACUAACCCUACCAGGGUUUCAGUUGUGCAAUUUCACCAUUAGCAAAGCUUUUUGCUGAAAUCUGGAUUUUCAAAGGGAGAGUAUCCAGAAACAGAAGAUGCUGAUCUGGGAGGCUCUUCCUAAUAGAACUGCUGCUUCAGUUUAGCUUGAAAAAGCCCACACUCAGUUCCUAAUGACAAACAUCUGAACACCAGGUCUUCCCACGAGCAAGACCAUGCUAUUCCUCCUGCUCGCUCUGUUCUAUAAGCAACCCACAGAUUGCUCCCUGUGAAGAGGAGCCUGCCAGGGAGCAGCAUUCCACCAGAUCCUGAUUUAGCAAGAUAUUUCCGUAUCAUUCCCCCAACCAGCUGGAAGUCCUCCACUGUUCUUGUGUAAAAAUCUAACUCAUCUCGCUGAAUUUCCUGAUUUAAAAGUCUAAUUCAUUUCACCAAAAGUGUGACAGAAGGAAACCAAGUACACCAUCUCUCUCUUACCAAACCAAAGCUAUUGCAUGUGCAUUCUGGGAGAAAAAAAUGGUCCAAAUAUGUUAUGGAGGGGGUGCCAGCCCAGUGUCAUCCUCUUACUAUUGCCAUAGGAUCUUGGCUGAUGGCAUCAGAAGAAAAACAAGUUUAUCGAUUACUUUCAACCAUUAAGCUCACUCCUCCAUGAAAAAUAAGUCACAAGUCCAAUGUCUCUUAUUAAAAUAAGCACUGCAAAAUAUAAAGGACUCACAGUUUUAAAAUGGGACACACGUUCUCUAAGCGGUGAACCACUUUAGAGGUGUACUGUUUACAUUGUAUAAAGUCCCCUGGAGCCAGGGUUAGGAAGCGCAUCUGUUCUUUGGUGUUCUGGGAUGAAGGAGAAAGGAAAAUGUGCUGCCAGAAGUGAGUGGGAAGGAGCCCAUGAGAUAAAGGAAGUAAAUCCAUUUGCUGAUUGCAAUAAUAAUGGUAAUACACGAAGCUAUACAUACAUACAUACAUACAUACAUACAUACAUGCAAACUUUCACAUUUUUUAAAAAAAGAACUUAAGGCUUCCACACAUGUAAUCAGCCCUUAUGAACUCUCCUGAUUAGCUGCAAGGAAAAUCUUCCUUUCUCCUUUUUCCUGCACCAUCCUGGGCUCCCUUUUGACUUUUUUUUUUU
rnacentral:lncRNA from 1 species